rnacentral:rRNA from 1 species
CGGGUGAGUAAUGUCUGGGGAUCUGCCUGAUGGCGGGGGAUAACUACUGGAAACGGUAGCUAAUACCGCAUAAUGUCUGCGGACCAAAGCGGGGGACCUCCGGGCCUCGCGCCAUCAGAUGAACCCAUAUGGGAUUAGCUAGUAGGUGGGGUAACGGCUCACCUAGGCGACGAUCCCUAGCUGGUCUGAGAGGAUGACCAGCCACACUGGAACUGAGACACGGUCCAG